rnacentral:rRNA from 1 species
UACGAAGGGGGCUAGCGUUGCUCGGAAUCACUGGGCGUAAAGGGUGCGUAGGCGGGUCUUUAAGUCAGGGGUGAAAUCCUGGAGCUCAACUCCAGAACUGCCUUUGAUACUGAGGAUCUUGAGUUCGGGAGAGGUGAGUGGAACUGCGAGUGUAGAGGUGAAAUUCGUAGAUAUUCGCAAGAACACCAGUGGCGAAGGCGGCUCACUGGCCCGAUACUGACGCUGAUGCACGAAGCGUGGGAGCAAACGGG